rnacentral:rRNA from 1 species
AAUUUGUCUGUUUUUAGGCAAUACUGAAAGGUAUUUCCUUUAACAGUUUUAGCCGUUUAUAUACUGGAUAUAAUUGACAGUAACGAAUCAUGGUGUUGAGCCACUUGCUUUGUAAGUGUCCUUAUGGCUGUUUGCAAGUGGGUUGGUUAAUUAGUUUUAGUCGGAUUUCGGUCCGUCUAACUAUUCCGCCUACUGUUGGUAAACUGUUCCUUGGACAGUGCUUAUAACACCGGUCGGCAGCGAUUCAGGUUCAGGCUCUUAUCCGACCCGUCUUGAAACACGGACCAAGGAGUUUAGCGUGUACGCAAGUCAUUGGGUGUAUAAAACCCAAAGGCGCAAUGAAAUUGAAA